rnacentral:rRNA from 1 species
UGGGGAAUUUUGGACAAUGGGCGAAAGCCUGAUCCAGCAAUGCCGCGUGUGUGAAGAAGGCCUUCGGGUUGUAAAGCACUUUUGUCCGGAAAGAAAUCCUUGGCUCUAAUACAGUCGGGUGAUGCGUACCGGAAGAAUAAGCACCGGCUAACUACGUGCCAGCAGCCGCGGUAAUACGUAGGGUGCAAGCGUUAAUCGGAAUUACUGGGCGUAAAGCGUGCGCAGGCGGUUUGCUAAGACCGAUGUGAAAUCCCCGGGCUCAACCUGGGAACUGCAUUGGUGACUGGCAGGCUAGAGUAUGGCAGAGGGGGGUAGAAUUCCACGUGUAGCAGUGAAAUGCGUAGAGAUGUGGAGGAAUACCGAUGGCGAAGGCAGCCCCCUGGGCCAAUACUGACGCUCAUGCACGAAAGCGUGGGGAGCAAACAGGAUUAGAUACCCUGGUAGUCCACGCCCUAAACGAUGUCAACUAGUUGUUGGGGAUUCAUUUCCUUAGUAACGUAGCUAACGCGUGAAGUUGACCGCCUGGGGAGUACGGUCGCAAGAUUAAAACUUAAAGGAAUUGACGGGGUCAUAGCUGUUUCCU